GUCCUGCAUGUCGAUCUCAGAAAAACAAACCCCAGGUCACCCACCGGUCUGAAGAGGAGGAUGAGAGACAAAGAAAAAAGUUGUCUGGCUGCCUCUGCUGUCUACAGAUUGAAGAAGAUCCAUCCAGCUGAGCCCAGCCUAGACCAGCUGACUUCUCCAAUAAGCCUGUAUGAAAUAAAUGCUUAUUGUUAUGUG
rnacentral:lncRNA from 1 species